rnacentral:rRNA from 1 species
AGAGUUUGAUCCUGGCUCAGGAUGAACGCUGGCGGCGUGCCUAAUACAUGCAAGUCGAACGCUUCACUUCGGUGAAGAGUGGCGAACGGGUGAGUAAUACAUAAGUAACCUGGCAUCUACAGGGGGAUAACUGAUGGAAACGUCAGCUAAGACCGCAUAGGUGUAGAGAUCGCAUGAACUCUAUAUGAAAAGUGCUACGGGACUGGUAGAUGAUGGACUUAUGGCGCAUUAGCUUGUUGGUAGGGUAACGGCCUACCAAGGCGACGAUGCGUAGCCGACCUGAGAGGGUGACCGGCCACACUGGGACUGAGACACGGCCCAGACUCCUACGGGAGGCAGCAGUAGGGAAUUUUCGGCAAUGGGGGAAACCCUGACCGAGCAACGCCGCGUGAAGGAAGAAGUAAUUCGUUAUGUAAACUUCUGUCAUAGAGGAAGAACGGUGGAUAUAGGGAAUGAUAUCCAAGUGACGGUACUCUAUAAGAAAGCCACGGCUAACUACGUGCCAGCAGCCGCGGUAAUACGUAGGUGGCGAGCGUUAUCCGGAAUUAUUGGGCGUAAAGAGGGAGCAGGCGGCACUAAGGGUCUGUGGUGAAAGAUCGAAGCUUAACUUCGGUAAGCCAUGGAAACCGUAGAGCUAGAGUGUGUGAGAGGAUCGUGGAAUUCCAUGUGUAGCGGUGAAAUGCGUAGAUAUAUGGAGGAACACCAGUGGCGAAGGCGACGAUCUGGCGCAUAACUGACGCUCAGUCCCGAAAGCGUGGGGAGCAAAUAGGAUUAGAUACCCUAGUAGUCCACGCCGUAAACGAUGAGAACUAAGUGUUGGAGGAAUUCAGUGCUGCAGUUAACGCAAUAAGUUCUCCGCCUGGGGAGUAUGCACGCAAGUGUGAAACUCAAAGGAAUUGACGGGGGCCCGCACAAGCGGUGGAGUAUGUGGUUUAAUUCGACGCAACGCGAAGAACCUUACCAAGACUUGACAUUGAUUGAAAGACUUAGAGAUAAGUCCCUUCUCUUCGGAGAACAAGAAAACAGGUGGUGCAUGGCUGUCGUCAGCUCGUGUCGUGAGAUGUUGGGUUAAGUCCCGCAACGAGCGCAACCC